UACGGGGGGGGUAAGCGUUGUUCGGAAUUACUGGGCGUAAAGGGCUCGUAGGCGGCCAACUAAGUCAGACGUGAAAUCCCUCAGCUUAACUGGGGAACUGCGUCUGAUACUGGAUGGCUUGGAUUUGGGAGAGGGAUGCGGAAUUCCAGGUGUAGCGGUGAAAUGCGUAGAUAUCUGGGGGAACACCGGUGGCGAAGGCGGCAUCCUGGACCAAUAUUGACGCUGAGGAGCGAAAGCCAGGGGAGCAAACGGG
rnacentral:rRNA from 1 species